AAUCUUCCACAAUGGACGAAAGUCUGACGGAGCAACGCCUCGUGAGCGAAGAAGGUUUACGGAUCGUAAAGCUCUGUUGCGAGGGAAGAACAAGUACGGGAGUAACCGCCCGUACCUUCACGGUACCUCGUCAUAAAGCCACGGCGAACUACGUGCUAGCAGCCGCGGUAAUACGUAGGUGGCAAGCGUUGUCCGGAAUUAUUGGGCGUAAAGCGCGCGCAGGCGGUCCUUUAAGUCUGAUGUGAAAGCCCACGGCUCAACCGUGGAGGGUCAUUGGAAACUGGAGGACUUGAGUACAGAAGAGGAAAGCGGAAUUCCACGUGUAGCGGUGAAAUGCGUAGAGAUGUGGAGGAACACCAGUGGCGAAGGCGGCUUUCUGGUCUGUAACUGACGCUGAGGCGCGAAAGCGUGGGGAGCAAACAG
rnacentral:rRNA from 1 species